UUUGCGCUAGGGAUUGAAAUGGCAUCCUUUUUUGUUUUUCUCAAAAAAGAUAUAAUGAAAAGCCCGACCUUUA
rnacentral:sRNA from 1 species